UACGUAGGGUGCGAGCGUUGUCCGGAAUUACUGGGCGUAAAGGGCUCGUAGGCGGCCAACUAAGUCAUACGUGAAAUCCCUCAGCUUAACUGGGGAACUGCGUGUGAUACUGGAUGGCUUGGAUUUGGGAGAGGGAUGCGGAAUUCCAGGUGUAGCGGUGAAGUGCGUAGAUAUCUGGAGGAACACCGGUGGCGAAGGCGGCAUCCUGGACCAAUAUUGACGCUGAGGAGCGAAAGCCAGGGGAGCAAACGGG
rnacentral:rRNA from 1 species